rnacentral:rRNA from 1 species
GACGAACCGUACGAACGUUAUUCGGAAUUACUGGGCUUAAAGGGUGCGUAGGCUGCGCGGAAAGUUGGGUGUGAAAGCCCUCAGCUCAACUGAGGAACUGCAUUCAAAACUACCGUGCUCGAGGGAGACAGAGGUGAGCGGAACUCAAGGUGGAGCGGUGAAAUGCGUUGAUAUCUUGAGGAACACCGGUGGCGAAGGCGGCUCACUGGGUCUUUUCUGACGCUGAGGCACGAAAGCCAAGGUAGCAAACGGG